GGGUUGUGAGGUUAAGCGACUAAGCGUACACGGUGGAUGCCCUGGCAGUCAGAGGCGAUGAAGGACGUGCUAAUCUGCGAAAAGCGUCGGUAAGGUGAUAUGAACCGUUAUAGCCGGCGAUGUCCGAAUGGGGAAACCCAGUGCAAUUCGUUGCACUAUCGUUAACUGAAUACAUAGGUUAACGAGGCGAACCGGGGGAACUGAAACAUCUAAGUACCCCGAGGAAAAGAAAUCAACCGAGAUUCCCCCAGU
rnacentral:rRNA from 2 species